GCCUAGUCUAUGAUGCCACAAGUACUUCUGUUUAACUUCAUCUCUGGAUCUCUUUUGAUUUACGACACUCACUAUUUGCUCAUUUAAAUUCAGAUUCGCAUCAACAUAUAAGUGAUAUAGAUCGUCAAUUAAAAGAUCUCGUGCAAUCAAUUUAUUUCAUAAAUAAAUGAAACAAAAGUCUUUAUUAAAAUUAAAUUUAAAACCUUCUUGUGCUAGCAUA
rnacentral:lncRNA from 1 species